GCUAUAUGUCACGGACCUAGUUUCGUUACACCCGAACAACUAGAACCGUGCGGCCUUAACGCUUGACAAUUCCCGCACCUCACGAGAAAACGUUAAGUCAGCCUUUUCACGCUCACAAAUAAUUUAACCAAGGAGGCUAAAUUAUACCCACGUUGAGAGGAGAAUUUUGAAGUAAAGGAUAUAUGAAAAACAAGUAAGGUCGGGAAACUUUCUUUGUAUAUAUGAAAGGGAAAACUUUACAAUCUCUCUAAGGAAUAAAUUCACUCAACUCUACAUGAUUUACAAAUGAGAUUUCUACCUCUAUUUAUAGGCAAAA
rnacentral:lncRNA from 1 species